rnacentral:rRNA from 1 species
AACGAACGCUGGCGGCAUGCCUAACACAUGCAAGUCGAACGAGACCUUCGGGUCUAGUGGCGCACGGGUGCGUAACGCGUGGGAAGCUGCCCUUAGGUUCGGAAUAACUCCCCGAAAGGGGUGCUAAUACCGGAUAAUGUCUUCGGACCAAAGAUUUAUCGCCUUUGGAUGGGCCCGCGUUGGAUUAGCUAGUUGGUAGGGUAAAAGCCUACCAAGGCGACGAUCCAUAGCUGGUCUGAGAGGAUGAUCAGCCACACUGGGACUGAGACACGGCCCAGACUCCUACGGGAGGCAGGAGUGGGGAAUAUUGGACAGUGGGCGAAAGCCUGAUCCAGCAAUGCCGCGUGAGUGAUGAAGGCCUGAGGGUUGUAAAGCUCUUUUACCCGGGAUGAUAAUGACAGUACCGGGAGAAUAAGCUCCGGCUAACUCCGUG